AGUGAACGCUGGCGGUAGGCCUAACACAUGCAAGUCGAACGGCAGCACAGUAAGAGCUUGCUCUUACGGGUGGCGAGUGGCGGACGGGUGAGGAAUACAUCGGAAUCUACUUUUUCGUGGGGGAUAACUUAGGGAAACUUACGCUAUUACCGCAUACGACCUACGGUUGAAAGCAGGGGAUCUUCGGACCUUGCGCGAUUGAAUGAGCCGCUGUCGGAUUAUCUAGUUGGCGGGGUAAAGGCCCACCAAGGCGACGAUCCGUAGCUGGUCUGAGAGGAUGAUCAGCCACACUGGAACUGAGACACGGUCCAGACGCCUACGGGAGGCAGCAGUGGGGAAUAUUGGACAAUGGGCGCAAGCCUGAUCCAGCCAUACCGCGUGGGUGAAGAAGGCCUUCGGGUUGUAAAGCCCUUUUGUUGGGAAAGAAAAGCAGCAGGGUAAUACCCCGCUGUUCUGACGGUACCCAAAGAAUAAGCACCGGCUAAAUUCGUG
rnacentral:rRNA from 1 species